GUGAGACCCAAACAGCAGACAGAAUGGUCCCAGCAUGCUCGCUGCCUUUUUGUGUUUGAACAGUGGCUGUCAGUCCCAGCCUUGCAGGAUAAUUAAAAGAGAAACCUGUAAAAGCAACAUUCCCCGUGAGCGAGUUGGUGCUGCAACGUGCUGGUCUACGCUGCUGCAGAAAGGGGUGAUCCAGACACUCGGGUAAGAACUGUCUUCUGCAGGGCAGAAGGGUACUGUGCAGUCUCUGCUGGGAAGGUAGUGGUGGCGUUUUAUUUCCUUGCUGCUUUUCUACUUCUGACACUCGCUGGGACAUAAACAUUUUGGUUCGUUCUCUUGAGAAUUUUCUCCUCUGGAUUCGGACUAUUACUGAGUCUGACCCUCGUGCCUUUUGAGUCAUGUUUGCAGGAGAGUGUCACUGGGUAUUGGUGCGUCUAUGACAGACCACUCUUUGAUUUCACAUCCUCAUAUUACUAGUGCUCUGGGUUUAUUGUGAGAUGUUUUUAUUUCCUCAAGGCAUGAGCUUCUUCCUUAAAAAAUAAGGAUUAUAAAGAGCUAUUAGAAGUUUAUUCAGAGAAAUAGCUUUAUGGAUCUGGUUUUGAGAAUGGAAUCUGUCAAGUGUGCUUAUAUAUUGACUCUAUUUUAGCGUGGACACAAAGUCAUAUUCCUUCUGUCCUGUGAGGUCAGCACAGCCAAGAAAAGAGACCUCAGAAAAGGGACUUGUAUUCUUGAGCUGUUAACAUGGUGUCUAAAUUCAGGAUAAAAAUCUGUCUUAAGUAGUUCAAGAGUUUCCCUACUCGUGUAUUUCACUAUGAAACAUAGGAAUGGCUUACACACAGAGCCCGGAUCAAGGGAGAAGAAAUCAAACAACUGGUUUCAGGUCAUCCGCUCAGAAGUUAUUUUCCCAGGUCCCCUUGCAAUCCUUCUUAGCUUAUUAAGUAUUGCGGCACUGGAUACUGUGGACCCCACACUCUGGAGUAGGAAUCACUGAGAAGCGAUUCCUGUUCAUGGUAGUUUCAUUCAUUAACGCUAUUGCAUUCAUUUUGGUGUUGUUGAUUUCUAUGGUCCUGUUUCUCAUUUUUCCCCCCAACACAUUCCCUGUUCCUGUUUCUUUUGAAUGUUUUAAUCCAAUUACCAGCUCCGUAAACGAGCAUUUGCCACAUCUACGGUAAGUGCACUGAACUGUAGUGGAAGUGAUUUCUGAUUACCCACAAGCUCGUUUCUAAGGGACACAGGAACAACAAGCAGUGAACUGAAGAAAGAAUAAUGGAAAAUGCCUUGUUAGGUGACUGUGGCAAAGAUUCAGAGCACAGAUGCUAAACAAAAAGUCACAGAAUUCUGAAACACAUAGAUACUCUCCUGGAAAGUGCUUCAGAUCUGAGUCAUAUUGGAUCAGCUUAGUUAUCCGAAAAAAAUACGUUGCAGACUUUAUAAAUCAAGACUUUUAUUAAUAUUGGGCUAGACUUUCUGAGAGGAUAGCAAAAACCAACCGAAAAAAAAUGAAAAACAAAAACAAUUAGACUCUUGAAAUUCCUAGAAUUUUGUUAAUGAAGCCAAGAAUAACUUUAGAUUUGGGAUUUCUGAACUUUUUUCUCCCUUUGGUGGUCCCCUUGUCUCUACCGUUUCUAGAAUGUCUACUUUCAUGGCCUCUUACUCCCACAAAAGAGAAACUGACAUUUCUUGGGCCUUGACCUAGGACUAAUAAAAAGUGCUUUGUUAAAACUUUCACUUGCUACCUGGAGUCAGGCCUUGAAGCCAGGCACAGAAGACUGGGGGAGGGGCGUAAUUGUUGUAGUCUGAGCCCACAGAUGAGCAAGUGUCCCAAGAAGUCAGAACACUUUCUCAGAAUCCCUAGAGUGCUAGGACCAUACAUCCCAGAUUAAGUCGCUUUUCUGCGAACAUGAUGGCUGCUGGAGAUCAUGCUCUCAGAGGUAGAGUCAGAACCAAGGCAGUGGGAGCUUCAGUGCCUGCCUGGGUGUGAGUGAUAGAUGAAAAUGGUGGCAAGUCCUUCCCACUGCCAAAGGCCUCCACAGUAACGGUUUUAAAAAUCAAAAGGAACCCCAAAAUGGUUGUCCAAUAGGGCCAGCUUCAUCCCAAGAAUAGAACAUUGUAUUUCAAAGCAGGUAAAGAUUCAUAGUUUUCAAAGUCUGGGCAUGCCAUAAGGCAGGGUUGCUGAUAUAGUAAUCUUUGAACCAUGCCAACUGAGACUCCCACAUUAUAAUGUACUAAUUUUUUUUUGGCAAAGCCUAGGAAACCAGGCACAGAUGACUCUAGGAUCCAAUUUAUCUGUUUCAUAGGUAUAAUGAGGAAUUUUCAAGACAUGUCCUACUCUGGUUUUGCUGAGCAUGUAGCAAUGAGUAUCUAGAGGUACAGGGAUCGGUUCUGAGUUGGGUCCUGCCUUCCUUUCUCAGGGGCCAAAGAAAAUUAGAGUGCAGAGAUGUAGUUUUUACUGCACUCAGUCAUUCAGCCUUACAUAUGUCAAAUCAUCAAAUUUCCAUAGUAUUUAAGAAGCAUUUGACUGCCAAAUGAUGAAUAAAAUGUGUGAUUUAAACACCGAAAUCUAAAGUUUAAUGUCUCUUUUAUGGUUUCAUGAUGUACUAUAAAAUACAAGGCAUAACUUUGGAUGACAACGGCAGUCACCCAAUCCAGCCUACAAAUUUGCCUCUUGUGAUAUCAGAGCUUCCCUAACUGUAAAGUCCUAUUCAGCUAUGACACAGGGGUUGUAACCUUGGUUUCAGGACUUUUAGAUUACAUAUUAGAGGCCAAGUUCUAAGUAUGGAGAAGGUGGUCGUUUGAACCGGACCAUGCAAUAGCUUGACUCACUAUUCCAGGACUUUUGUUGAGAGAUAGGCAGCUCUUUCUGCGAUGUGGGGUGAUGGAUGGCAAAGGACUCUGUCUCCUGAAUAGAGCAUGGGAUUUCACAACGCAAAUAAAGAGAAUUAAACACGUAAGACUUAGUAAAUGAAAACUGGUGCUCAGGGGAGAGAUUAUCUACUUUUUUUUCUUCUCUAUUUGAUAGCGAUUUCAGAAUCAUUUCCUCUGCAGAAGAAGUCACUUCAGAAUUGAAUGGUGGCAAGGGGUAUAGACUGUACUCUUUGGGUUUUGUCAAAGACAUCUAGACAGUCAGUGCUAAGUGUUUAGAAUGCUUCAGUGCGGUGUGAUGGGUAAUUCCAUUGGCAUUUCCACAGUACCAACCUGGUAGUCAUCUUCCUUUGCUGUGUUAAUACAUUGAGGAAAAGGGGGUGCUUUGGUCAGCCAUGUGCCUUUUUGUAGGUAAUCUACAAAGAUUCUCAAAGUUACCGUUUAGAUCAGGGAGCUCUGGCAGAAAACUUGAUGUCUAUAAAAGUUGUCAAUGGGUCUGUUCUCCAUAGCCUCUUGCUGACUCACCUUUUCCCGAUGAAAUAAAGAAAACUCUUCAUCACCUGACUUCACAUUCUUAGAUCAGCCACACAGCAGUUUUCCUACCUCGAUUCCUGAGCCCAGGUUUCCUGAGUAACUUCUACCUGCUAUGUUUCUCUGUCCAUGAUGUUUCUGCAGUUAAACUCUGGGCUCUUCUUUUUCCCAUCUACCAUCUCACCGAAGACUUUGUUGUAGAAUAGCUUCACAGAGCAGCAUACACAAAACACAGUCUGGAUCACCACUGUUUUUCCACGACCACCCAGAAUCUAUGCCUAAAAGGACUGCUGUAGAAAUGGAAGAGGUUAAUUUCCUUUUGCUUCAGACUUGCUCUGCAGACCUCGGUAGAGAGACGAAUCUGCUCUUUAAAAAUUUAUUUCCUUGGCAGUUUCUCUUCCUAUAAAUGGGAACCUGGGAUCUCAUAAAACUGAUUUAAAAUUAUCAAAUGCUAUUGAACCAACCUAAUGAAAAUUUUAACCAAAAGUCAUUGUGAAUUAGGUAUGUGAUAUACUGAGAAUGCAAGCCUUUGUAAAGUAGAUAUUGUUCUUAUGUAAACUCAUGAAUGGAGACUUUCUUGAAUAAAUUACUUCUUAAUAACAUCAGAGAGUCAUUGGCUGGGUAAAUAUCUCCCUGGGCACUCACUGAGGUUUCUGAAUUUAAAUGUUCAAUCGAACUUCUUAUUUGUCACAAUUCCUAAUGAGUUUUUCUUUAUGAAAUCAUUGUUAGUAUGAAAAAGUAAGAAUUUGUACCUAAUUUCUAGAUUAAUGGUCUUUAAAAGACCUCAAGGGGUUGGAUUUUUUUUCUUGCUAAAACACAAAAUUUACAUAAUUUCUAUUGCCCAAAUGUUUAAACUCCUCAACCCACUGUUUGCAACCUGAAGCCUGAAAAAGAAAAAUGAUCUGAGCAGGCAGAAUGACUGGAUUCCUGUUUAGGAGAACAAUGGGCCUGCUUAAAGGGCCUGAAGGCAAAACCAUUUCUCCCACCCUGGCCUGUGAGGUGUGUGAAGACUUUGCAGACAUCCUUUUCAGACUCACAUCCCACCAAGGCCAGACACUGUCAAGUUCAGCACCUGCUAAGCCAGUCUGGGAGUUGUAGUGAUUUGAAUAAGAAUGGUCCCGUAAGCUCAUAGAUUUGAAUGCUAAGUCAUCUGGGAGCAUGCGUGACCUCUCAAGGUGUGGCCUUGUCAGAGUGGGUAUGGCCUGGUUGGGGGAAGUGUGUCACUGGUUUCAAAAAGCCAAGCCAGGCCUUUCCUGGUGCCUGUUGAUUCAGAUGUAGAUCUCUCAGUUGCUUCUCUAGUACCAUGUCUGUCUGCAUGUAGCUAUGCUCCCACCAUAACAGACUAAACUCUGAAGCUGUAGCCAAGCCCUAAUUAAAUCUUUUCUUUUAUAAGAGUUUGGUGGUUACAGUGUUUCCUCACACCAAAGCAUCCUGACUAAGACAGUUGUUACAGUUAAAAUAUGGAGGGUUUUUUUUGUUUUUGUUUUUGGGGUUUUUGUUUUGGUUGGUUGGUUUUUUUCGGUUUUUUUUUUUUUUGUUUGUUUUGUUUUGUUUUGUUUUGGUUUGGUUUUUUUGGGGGGGACUUUGGAUGGUACCUAUGUUCUUUUAAUUUCAACAAUGCAACAGAUGGUCUGAGUUCACACCUGAACAAUAGUGCUACAGGAUCAGCUUAAAGCUAUCAAUAUAUUCUAUACUGUGGACCCUUUAGGGUAGGAGAGGAGGAAAAAACCUGUUUAUAAGCAGACCUGGACUGUCUUGCACAUAUGGUACAGGGAAGCAACAUCAUGGCGUGUCAAAGAUGUCGUCUUGGAAAGAAAGAUGCAAACAAUUUACCAUUGUUGUCCUCUACUGCUGCCUACAUCCUAACCAGACUCCUGACGUUUGUUGUUAAUGAGGCUGAAAUAGAUACUAGCUUCAUUUCAACACAGAUUGAGACAACAUGAUAUCAGAGGGAUUGUUCUGGAGACAUCCUAGAUGUUAACAUAAGAACCUCAAUGUAGGGGUGUGUGUGAGUGUGUGUGUGUGUGUGUGUGUGAGUGAGAGAGAGAGAGAGAGAGAGAGACAGACAGAGACAGAGACAGAGACAGAGACAGAGAGAGACAGAGAGGGAGUACGUGGAGGCCAGAGACAACCUUAGGCUUCUCUUCCCAUGAGCCAUCUACCCUGUUUGUUAAGAUAGACUGUCAUUACCCAGUACUUUCCAAGUAGGUUAGUUAGGCUGACUGGCCAGUGAAUUCUAAGAUCUACCUUUCUCUACACCCAGGACCAUAGCUGGCUUCUUUAUUUGGGCUCUGGGUCUCAAACUUGGGUUCUAAGACUACUUUAAUGACUGAGCCACAUCCUCAGCCCAGUGCAUGCUGCUUGAUCACCACGUGUUUGUGCCAUAUUUGCUCCAAGAUUUAUUUCAACGAACCUCCCUAAAAAUCUAAUCAGUUAGGUUUGGUAAGGUGCAUGGAUAUUCCUAGCUUAUGGGAGGUAAAGGCAAGAGGAUCCAAAGUUCAAGGCCAGCCUAGGCUACAGAAGAGCACAUAAGAUCCUGCCUCAAUAAAAUGAACAAAAAAUGGAAUCAACAAUUACAGACCAGCUCAUUACCAUAUAAUUAGUUAUAUGAAAAUGAAUGCUAUAUGCUCUGAAUGCCAUAAUAUUUAGUGACCUUUCAAUAUAGAAGCCUAUGAAAUAUACUUUGUAAAACCACUUGAAAAAUUGAAACAUAUAUUUUAAUGUAUUUCAUGAUACUGUGUCUUAAAAAUCACAUAUGCUUAAGGUACUUAUUGAAAGAUAUUCUAGAGUUUAGGUCAAUGAUAUUCUUCCUCCACAGAUUCCAGGAAUGGUGUUCAAAUCACUAUGGCAGAAAAACAAAUGUUCCCCAGGAACCUAAAUUGGCAAAUGACUAAGUAUACAUAGCAACUUCCUCAAGUACAGCUUGUGUUAAAGUGAAGACUUUAAACAGAAGUCAAGUUUAGUCCCACAUUAUGCUACAGGUUGAUUGAAAUACAUAUAUGCUAACAAAAUUCUGCAUCUAUACAUAGCAUUUCCCUACUGAAUUUCAUCAGGAAAUCGAAUAUGAAACCCCACAGAGAACAUUCUCCAGGCCACUUCAUUUAAGAAGGAUGGGUAAAAGAAUAUGAAGCCUUGUGGAAUAUCCCCACCCAGGAGCUGUGUCGGGCUCACACACACACAAGGCUGAGAAUGCGGGUAAAGCCACAGGUACCUACAGCCCUGUAGUGUGUAAGUAACACACGGAGCAACAGCUACAGUGACCCCUCGGUCCUGUGAUAGCUCUUUGUGUAUUCCUCCUCGGUAGAAGAUUCUGACCUCAUAGUAGAAGUUUCCAGAGCCUUGUAACUACCCCCACUCCCCACUUUUGGUUGAUUGUUUAUGAAAGGGCUUAGCAAGGCAUAGGAGGCAAAAUAAAUGUCAUAAGCAUAGGCAACUUUGUCUCAUUUGUUCCUCCUAAUUUUAAAUGUUUUUAGAAGUGUAAGCCAGGUGUGAGAGGGCAUGUCUAAUUUGCAAGUGACCUUACGACCCAAGGUGAGCCAGACUGAAAUGAUCUUGUGUUUGAGACAGACAUAUUUCUUAGUCUAUCAACCUGUGCAAUAAAAAAAAAUAUAUCUAUAUAAGCUUAGUAAGAGAUGUCCAUACAUAGGCAUAUGCAGUACAUGGUAUAUGAUAUGCUGACUGCCCCAAAGUGAUAAAAUGAAUCUCAGAUUCCUAAUUGUCAGUAGCUCAGGACUCAAAGUCAGAUCGCACAGAUGUGAACUCUUACUGUAACCUUUUCCAAGCUAAGAGUCCUUAGGAAAGUAAACUUUUGUUUCUUGCCUCAAUUUUUUUCCAUAUAGAAUCUCUG
ensembl:lncRNA